GACGUAGGGCGCGAGCGUUGUCCGGAUUUAUUGGGCGUAAAGAGCUCGUAGGCGGCUUGUCGCGUCGUCCGUGAAAACCUGCAGCUCAACUGCAGGCUUGCGGUCGAUACGGGCAGGCUAGAGUUCGGUAGGGGAGACUGGAAUUCCUGGUGUAGCGGUAAAAUGCGCAGAUAUCAGGAGGAACACCGGUGGCGAAGGCGGGUCUCUGGGCCGAUACUGACGCUGAGGAGCGAAAGCGUGGGGAGCGAACAGG
rnacentral:rRNA from 1 species